AACGAACGCUGGCGGCAUGCCUAACACAUGCAAGUCGAACGAGACCUUCGGGUCUAGUGGCGCACGGGUGCGUAACGCGUGGGAACCUGCCCUUAGGUUCGGAAUAACUCCCCGAAAGGGGUGCUAAUACCGGAUAAUGUCUUCGGACCAAAGAUUUAUCGCCUUUGGAUGGGCCCGCGUUGGAUUAGCUAGUUGGCAGGGUAAAAGCCUACCAAGGCGACGAUCCAUAGCUGGUCUGAGAGGAUGAUCAGCCACACUGGGACUGAGACACGGCCCAGACUCCUACGGGAGGCAGCAGUGGGGAAUAUUGGACAAUGGGCGAAAGCCUGAUCCAGCAAUACCGCGUGAGUGAUGAAGGCCUUAGGGUUGUAAAGCUCUUUUACCCGGGAUGAUAAUGACAGUACCGGGAGAAUAAGCUCCGGCUAACUCCGUG
rnacentral:rRNA from 1 species